GUUACAUAACCACCGAGCUGCGCGAAAGUGCUUGCCAAGGAAUGUACAAUGACGUCCUCAGCGAAGACGAGAAUCUAUUUAUGGAGGGUCGGUCACCGCUGGCACUUGCAAAGAGUUGGCUUCCAAGCCUGAUGUCGACGGAUUCCUUGUUGGUGGCGCCAGUCUGAAGCCGGACUUUGUCACGAUCGUCAACGCAGCAGACUAAGCAGGAGCAUCAGGUGCAGCAAAGCACACCGUAACAGAUAAAUGUACCCACGUACGUGCAGUACACAUGUUCAUCAUUGCCGACAAAACUCCAGUCUAUAUGAAGCAAUACUUGUAAUAUAAUCUCCAAACCGCAUGGCUGCACAGUACCGACUUUAAUUCGUCUUUAUUUUGAUUGUUUUCUACACACUUGAGAUCUUUCCUCACUAUCAAGAAAGUGGAUAAGUAUAUAUUUCUGUUACUGUGAGUUUCUCUGCUAGCAGCUAUGACUCUGACCGGUUCGUUAUGUGAGAGGCAUGUGUCAUUGGCAACAUACAUAAUAGGAUGAAAAUUAUACUAUUACUAUUACUAUUAGCUUACACGUAUCAUAGCCUGUUAAAACUAGUAAAAAAUCAAUAAUACCCACACUGUACCAGAGCAUAUUGUUCAUGUUCUCUAUUGAAUUUGCCGUUUUAUGUUUUGUUCGGUUUACUGUCAAACUAUCUAAGUCUAACUAUCUAACUGUCAUACUAUCAGCGAUAUUAUAACGCUGUAUUUAGUCUCGAUGCAUUCCAUGUAAUCAUGUGUAUUCAUUGUGUAUAUUAGUCACAAUUUUACUAGUCUGGAAAUUAAAGGCUUCUUGGUAAUGACACAA